GGCAUUCACCAGGGGGGUCCCGCAAGGGGCUGAGAUUCUGCUGGAUGGCCGGCUUACCGGCUGUGGCGCAGUGACCCGUUGAACCUGAUCCAGUUCAUACUGGCGUAGGGACGGUGCAGAUAUCGAAGC
rnacentral:ncRNA from 2 species